rnacentral:rRNA from 1 species
AUUGCCCUAGUAACGGCGAGUGAAGCGGCAACAGCUCAAAUUUGAAAGCUGGCCUUCGGGUCCGCAUUGUAAUUUGUAGAGGAUGCUUUGGGUGAAACGCCAGUCUAAGUUCCUUGGAACAGGACGUCAUAGAGGGUGAGAAUCCCGUAUGUGACUGGAAAUGUUAACCUAUGUAAAGCUCCUUCGACGAGUCGAGUUGUUUGGGAAUGCAGCUCUAAAUGGGAGGUAAAUUUCUUCUAAAGCUAAAUAUUGGCGAGAGACCGAUAGCGCACAAGUAGAGUGAUCGAAAGAUGAAAAGCACUUUGGAAAGAGAGUUAAAAAGCACGUGAAAUUGUUGAAAGGGAAGCGCUUGCAAUCAGACUUGUUUAAACUGUUCGGCCGGUCUUCUGACCGGUUUACUCAGUUUGGACAGGCCAGCAUCAGUUUCGGCGGCCGGAUAAAGGCUCUGGGAAUGUGGCCUUCACUUCGGUGAAGGUGUUAUAGCCCAGGGUGUAAUACGGCCAGCCGGGACUGAGGUCCGCGCUUCGGCUAGGAUGCUGGCGUAAUGGUUGUAAGCGACCCGU